rnacentral:rRNA from 1 species
UACGAAGGGGGCUAGCGUUGCUCGGAAUCACUGGGCGUAAAGCGCACGUAGGCGGCUUUCUAAGUCAGGGGUGAAAUCCUGGAGCUCAACUCCAGAACUGCCCUUGAUACUGGAAAGCUUGAGUUCGGGAGAGGUGAGUGGAACUGCGAGUGUAGAGGUGAAAUUCGUAGAUAUUGGGAGGAACACCAGUGGCGAAGGCGGCUCGCUGGACCGGUUCUGACGCUGAGGCGCGAAAGCGUGGGGAGCAAACGGG